rnacentral:lncRNA from 1 species
CGCUUAUCAACCACCACUAUCGUUUGCAUUCAGUUUCUUCACAACCCCACAGCCCAAAUAAUAUUGCACAUGGGCCAUUGUAGAAAGCUUUUGAAAAGUGUUCUUUUCUCAGUUUCUCUUUUUGAAAAGUUAACAGAGACGAAAAAGGAAGAGGAAAAUACAGGGAUGAGACAUAUUAGAGAAUUAAUCAUUCAAUGUUUGUAUGUUAAAACUCUUCACCUCAUAGUAUAAACUUUUUGGAUACAAUAGAGUUUUUACCAAUUUUAUCCCAUAUCAAAAAAGCCC